CCCAGGUGCCCCAUCCUUCUGCCCACUCGUCGGCCCAGCGCCCACACACGCCUACUUGAUCGAUUCCAGGAAGAGGGCAUCUGUGUACAAGUCAGUGGUCCAGGUGCGAAACAACACAAAGAGUGCCCUUCCCUGGACACUGGGAUGGCUGGCCUUCCUGUUGCUGAAGGACAAUUGCCUAUUUGAAAAGUAAAGCAGACAGUAUAGAGGUGGGAACAGAAGAUAGCUGAGGACAAAAAUAAAUUUAUAUAAACUAGAUAUAAGUGACAAGACCAUCGGAGGAGAGAAGACACCCACUGCUGUGCUCAACCCCGACUGAAACAAAGGGAGACCAGCCUCCUGGAUAGCCCAGGCCAGGGAGAAGCCAGCAUAUGGACGAGUGUGACAGUGCUGGGGGUGGGGGCAGGCAUAAAGCAACACUCUGCUACCCUCAACACUUCCCUUCAGGUUUCGGUGAGUCCUGGGCUUUCUGUCUCCAAAAUGCAGGCAAGAUAGAAGAUCCCCGAGAAUCUCCCCAAGAUACUCCAGGCUUUCUGUUGAUGAACACAGAGGGAAGAACCACCUGACAGGAGCCUCUCAGAGGAGAUACCUACUUUCAUAAAGUGGGGUCUGCGUUACAGUCCCAACAGCCUUCUCAAGGCCAAGUGUGGGGCUGCAGAGCCAACAGAAAGCUGGCCCAACACACAGGGCAGGUCCGAGACAGGCUCCCAGUGACCUAGAGAAGCAUCACCUGGGAUCUGAAGCAGAGACUGCCCUGCAUUCAUAAAGCAGGGCAUGCCUGUGGCACAUUGUGGUCUCUUUGUGUGCAUCGGGGAGCCUCCCCAGGGCUCUGACCCCAGGCCCGGCAGAAGGCGAGUCAGGAUCCCAGCCUCAGACAGGUAAACAGAAUUGACCAAAGCUGCUGCAAAUUCCAGAGAUAGCCCCACUACAGAGAAUGCUCACUCAGUUUCCACUCUCUUGAUCUGAUGGGAGAAGAGAUGAGUGUCUCCUUGGAGACAGAAGGGAAGAAAGAUCAGGGAAGGAGAGAAGAAAAAAGAUAGGAAGAAAAAGAGAAAGAGGGAAGAGGAA